rnacentral:rRNA from 1 species
AGAUUAAGUUAUUAAGGGCGCACGGUGGAUGCCUUGGCACUAGAAGCCGAUGAAGGACGUUACUAACGACGAUAUGCUUUGGGGAGCUGUAAGUAAGCUUUGAUCCAGAGAUUUCCGAAUGGGGAAACCCAGCAUGAGUUAUGUCAUGUUAUCGAUAUGUGAAUACAUAGCAUAUCAGAAGGCACACCCGGAGAACUGAAACAUCUUAGUACCCGGAGGAAGAGAAAGAAAAUUCGAUUCCCUUAGUAGCGGCGAGCGAAACGGGAAGAGCCCAAACCAACAAGCUUGCUUGUUGGGGUUGUAGGACACUCUAUACGGAGUUACAAAGGACGACAUUAGACGAAUCAUCUGGAAAGAUGAAUCAAAGAAGGUAAUAAUCCUGUAGUCGAAAAUGUUGUCUCUCUUGAGUGGAUCCUGAGUACGACGGAGCACGUGAAAUUCCGUCGGAAUCUGGGAGGACCAUCUCCUAAGGCUAAAUACUCUCUAGUGACCGAUAGUGAACCAGUACCGUGAGGGAAAGGUGAAAAGCACCCCGGAAGGGGAGUGAAAUAGAACCUGAAACCGUGUGCUUACAAGUAGUCAGAGCCCGUUAAUGGGUGAUGGCGUGCCUUUUGUAGAAUGAACCGGCGAGUUACGAUUUGAUGCAAGGUUAAGCAGUAAAUGUGGAGCCGUAGCGAAAGCGAGUCUGAAUAGGGCGUUUAGUAUUUGGUCGUAGACCCGAAACCAGGUGAUCUACCCUUGGUCAGGUUGAAGUUCAGGUAACACUGAAUGGAGGACCGAACCGACUUACGUUGAAAAGUGAGCGGAUGAACUGAGGGUAGCGGAGAAAUUCCAAUCGAACCUGGAGAUAGCUGGUUCUCUCCGAAAUAGCUUUAGGGCUAGCCUCAAGUGAUGAUUAUUGGAGGUAGAGCACUGUUUGGACGAGGGGCCCCUCUCGGGUUACCGAAUUCAGACAAACUCCGAAUGCCAAUUAAUUUAACUUGGGAGUCAGAACAUGGGUGAUAAGGUCCGUGUUCGAAAGGGAAACAGCCCAGACCACCAGCUAAGGUCCCAAAAUAUAUGUUAAGUGGAAAAGGAUGUGGCGUUGCCCAGACAACUAGGAUGUUGGCUUAGAAGCAGCCAUCAUUUAAAGAGUGCGUAAUAGCUCACUAGUCGAGUGACACUGCGCCGAAAAUGUACCGGGGCUAAACAUAUUACCGAAGCUGUGGAUUGUCCUUUGGACAAUGGUAGGAGAGCGUUCUAAGGGCGUUGAAGCAUGAUCGUAAGGACAUGUGGAGCGCUUAGAAGUGAGAAUGCCGGUGUGAGUAGCGAAAGACGGGUGAGAAUCCCGUCCACCGAUUGACUAAGGUUUCCAGAGGAAGGCUCGUCCGCUCUGGGUUAGUCGGGUCCUAAGCUGAGGCCGACAGGCGUAGGCGAUGGAUAACAGGUUGAUAUUCCUGUACCACCUAUAAUCGUUUUAAUCGAUGGGGGGACGCAGUAGGAUAGGCGAAGCGUGCGAUUGGAUUGCACGUCUAAGCAGUAAGGCUGAGUAUUAGGCAAAUCCGGUACUCGUUAAGGCUGAGCUGUGAUGGGGAGAAGACAUUGAGUCUUCGAGUCGUUGAUUUCACACUGCCGAGAAAAGCCUCUAGAUAGAAAAUAGGUGCCCGUACCGCAAACCGACACAGGUAGUCAAGAUGAGAAUUCUAAGGUGAGCGAGCGAACUCUCGUUAAGGAACUCGGCAAAAUGACCCCGUAACUUCGGGAGAAGGGGUGCUCUUUAGGGUUAACGCCCAGAAGAGCCGCAGUGAAUAGGCCCAAGCGACUGUUUAUCAAAAACACAGGUCUCUGCUAAACCGUAAGGUGAUGUAUAGGGGCUGACGCCUGCCCGGUGCUGGAAGGUUAAGAGGAGUGGUUAGCUUCUGCGAAGCUACGAAUCGAAGCCCCAGUAAACGGCGGCCGUAACUAUAACGGUCCUAAGGUAGCGAAAUUCCUUGUCGGGUAAGUUCCGACCCGCACGAAAGGCGUAACGAUUUGGGCACUGUCUCAACGAGAGACUCGGUGAAAUCAUAGUACCUGUGAAGAUGCAGGUUACCCGCGACAGGACGGAAAGACCCCGUGGAGCUUUACUGUAGCCUGAUAUUGAAAUUCGGCACAGCUUGUACAGGAUAGGUAGGAGCCUUUGAAACGUGAGCGCUAGCUUACGUGGAGGCGCUGGUGGGAUACUACCCUAGCUGUGUUGGCUUUCUAACCCGCACCACUUAUCGUGGUGGGAGACAGUGUCAAGCGGGCAGUUUGACUGGGGCGGUCGCCUCCUAAAAGGUAACGGAGGCGCUCAAAGGUUCCCUCAGAAUGGUUGGAAAUCAUUCAUAGAGUGUAAAGGCAUAAGGGAGCUUGACUGCGAGACCUACAAGUCGAGCAGGGUCGAAAGACGGACUUAGUGAUCCGGUGGUUCCGCAUGGAAGGGCCAUCGCUCAACGGAUAAAAGCUACCCCGGGGAUAACAGGCUUAUCUCCCCCAAGAGUUCACAUCGACGGGGAGGUUUGGCACCUCGAUGUCGGCUCAUCGCAUCCUGGGGCUGUAGUCGGUCCCAAGGGUUGGGCUGUUCGCCCAUUAAAGCGGUACGCGAGCUGGGUUCAGAACGUCGUGAGACAGUUCGGUCCCUAUCCGUCGUGGGCGUAGGAAAUUUGAGAGGAGCUGUCCUUAGUACGAGAGGACCGGGAUGGACAUACCUCUGGUGUACCAGUUGUCGUGCCAACGGCAUAGCUGGGUAGCUAUGUGUGGACGGGAUAAGUGCUGAAAGCAUCUAAGCAUGAAGCCCCCCUCAAGAUGAGAUUUCCCAACUUCGGUUAUAAGAUCCCUCAAAGAUGAUGAGGUUAAUAGGUUCGAGGUGGAAGCAUGGUGACAUGUGGAGCUGACGAAUACUAAUCGAUCGAAGACUUAAUCAAAUU